AUUAAAGAUUUUGGCGGUAUUUUAGUCCAUUCAGAGGAACCUGUCCUGUAAUUGAUAAUCCACGAUUUAAUUUACUUGUUUUUUUAGUUUGUAUAUCGUCGUGGGUUGAAUAUUUUAUAAGAAUUAUAAUGUUCAAUAAAUAUAAAUUUAUUUUAUGUCAGAUCAAGGUGCAGCUUAUGAAUAAGAAGAGAUGGGUUACAAUAAAAUUAUUUUUGGUUUAUUAGCUUUAAUGUUUUUAGUAAAUUGGAUUUGAAUGUAAUAUUUUUAAAUUUAUAGAUGUGAUUUUGGCUCUAAAAUAUGCACAUAUUGCCCGUCGCUCUCAUUUAAUAUGAGAUAAGUCGUAACAAAGUAGAUGUACUGGAAAGUGUAUCUAGAAAGAU
rnacentral:rRNA from 2 species